rnacentral:lncRNA from 1 species
CGCAGAGCGACUAGAGGCGCGCGGUCCCGGCCAGCACCGUCUCUGGCGUUGUAGCUGCGGCCGUGGCGGAGGACUACGGCGACAAGGACGAGGGCCGCUCUCCCAGCUCUCUGCGUGCCGCGCCGCUCCGCUCCGCUGGCUGACCAUCUGGAGUGCAGGCUGGGAGGCGGGAUGGAGUGAUAGGGAAGAUGUUUAUAAAUUCUUCUGUGGGAUCAGAGGGCACGCCUAUUACAACCAGAAAACUACAAGUAUAACAGCGAGGAUGGAUGAACAGGCUCUAUUAGGGCUAAAUCCAAAUGCUGAUUCAGACUUUAGACAAAGGGCCCUGGCCUAUUUUGAGCAGUUAAAAAUUUCCCCAGAUGCCUGGCAGGUGUGUGCAGAAGCUCUAGCCCAGAGGACAUACAGUGAUGAUCAUGUGAAGUUUUUCUGCUUUCAAGUACUGGAACAUCAAGUUAAAUACAAGUAAGGCUUUUCUUACUGUUUUGACUCAGAUUUGCGGGGAGAGGUCAUUUUUUUAAUUUAAUGUUUUUCUUCCAUAAGGAAACCAUAAUACAGGUUGUAAAUUCACAGUGUAUAUGUUAUAUCCAGGUUAUAGAUACGUUUUGAUGUACCCCAAAGUGUUUUAAAAGUGCUGAGUUGGCCAGGUGAGGUGGCUCUCGCCUGUAAUCCGAGCACUUUGGGAGGCUGAGGCCGGUAGAUCACUUGAAGUCAGGAGUUUGAGACUAACCAGCCUGGCCAACAUGGUGAAACCCCGUCUCUACAAAAAAUACAGAAACUAGUCAGAUGUGGUGGCAUGCACCUGUAAUCCCAGCUACUCAGGAGACUGAGGCACGAGAAUUGCUUGAACCUGGGAGGCGGAGGUUGCAGUGAGCCGGGAUCACACCACUGCACUCCAGACUGGGUGACAGCGAGACUCCGUCUCAAAAAUAAAAAAAGUGCUGAGUUUGUUGGUUACACAUAAAAAUCCAAGGCUGGGCGCAGUGGCUCAUGCCUAUGAUCUCAGCACUUUGGGAGUCCAAGGCAAGAGGAUCGUUUGAGCUCAGGAGUUUGAGACCAGCCUAGGCAACAUAGUGAGACCUCAUCUCUACAAAAAUUUUUUUAAAAAAUUAGCCAGGCAUGAUUGCGCGCUUCUGUAUUCCCAGCUACUGGGGAAGCUGAGGCCAGGAGGUUGAGGCUCCAGUGAGCCAUGAUGGUGCCACUGCACUUCAGCCUGGGCAAUACAGCAAGACCUUGUCUC